CUGCAACUCGCCUGCAUGAAGCGGAAUUGCUAGUAAUCGCGAAUCAGAAUGUCGCGGUGAAUACGUUCCCGGGCCUUGUACACACCGCCCGUCAAGCCAUGGAAGCCGGGGGUGCCUGAAGUGCGUGAGCGCAAGCAGCGCCCUAAGGUAAAACCGGUGACUGGGGCUAAGUCGUAACAAGGUAUC
rnacentral:rRNA from 1 species